CCUACGGGAGGCAGCAGUAGGGAAUCUUCCACAAUGGGCGAAAGCCUGAUGGAGCAACGCCGCGUGGGUGAAGAAGGUCUUCGGAUCGUAAAAACCUGUCGUUAGAGAAGAAAGUGCGUGAGAGUAACGGUUCACGUUUUGACGGUAUCUAAACAGAAAGCCACGGCUAACUACGUGCCAGCAGCCGCGGUAAUACGUAGGUGGCAAGCGUUAAGCGGAUUUAUUGGGCGUAAAGGGAACGCAGGCGGUCUAUUAAGUCUGAUGUGAAAGCCCUGGGCUUAACCGGGGAAGUGCAUUGGAAACUGGGAGGCUUGAGUGCGGAAGAGGGGAGUAGAACUCCAUGUGUAGCGGUGAAAUGCGUAGAUAUGUGGAAGAACACUAGUGGCGAAGGCGGCUCCCUGGACUGUAACUGACGCUGAGGUUCGAAAGCGUGGGUAGCAAACAGGAUUAGAUACCCCAGUAGUC
rnacentral:rRNA from 1 species